CAAGUCGUGCGAGAAAGUUCCUUCGGGAGCGAGUACAGCGGCGCACGGGUGAGUAACACGUAGGUAAUCUGCCCUCGAGCCUGGAAUAACCUACCGAAAGGUGGGCUAAUACCGGAUAUGACCACGGAAGUUUCGGCUUCUGCGGUGAAAGGUGGCCUCUACCUGUAAGCUACCACUCAAGGAUGAGCCUGCGUACCAUUAGCUAGUUGGUGGGGUAAUGGCCCACCAAGGCUAUGAUGGUUAGCUGGUCUGAGAGGAUGGCCAGCCACACUGGGACUGAAACACGGCCCAGACUCCUACGGGAGGCAGCAGUGGGGGAUAUUGCGCAAUGGGCGAAAGCCUGACGCAGCGACGCCGCGUGGGUGAUGAAGGCCUUCGGGUCGUAAAGCCCUGUCGAGGGGGAAGAAUCGGUUGCGACCUAACACGUCGUGAUCCUGACGGUACCCCUAAAGGAAGCACCGGCUAACUCCGUGCCAGCAGCCGCGGUAAUACGGAGGGUGCGAGCGUUGUUCGGAAUCACUGGGCGUAAAGCGCGUGUAGGCGGCCCACUAAGUCUGAUGUGAAAGCCCGGGGCUCACCCCCGGAAGUGCAUUGGAAACUGGUGGACUCGAGUCCCGGAGAGGAGAGUGGAAUUCCUGGUGUAGCGGUGAAAUGCGUAGAUAUCAGGAGGAACACCGGUGGCGAAGGCGGCUCUCUGGACGGUGACUGACGCUGAGACGCGAAAGCGUGGGGAGCAAACAGGAUUAGAUACCCUGGUAGUCCACGCCGUAAACGAUGAGCACUAGGUGUCGCGGGUAUUGACCCCUGCGGUGCCGACGCUAACGCAU
rnacentral:rRNA from 1 species